rnacentral:rRNA from 1 species
UACGGAGGGGCUAGCGUUGUUCGGAAUUACUGGGCGUAAAGCGCGCGUAGGCGGACCUGCAAGUCGGGGGUGAAAGCCCGAGGCUCAACCUCGGAACUGCCCUCGAUACUGCGGGUCUCGAGUCCGGGAGAGGUGAGUGGAAUUCCGUAGUGUAGAGGUGAAAUUCGUAGAUAUUAGGAAGAACACCAGUGGCGAAGGCGGCUCACUGGCCCGGUACGUGACGCUGAGGCGCGAAAGCGUGGGGAGCAAACAGGG